GUAGACACGGUGCUCACAACUAGGAAGACCUUCCUGCCCCAGAGCUGCCUCUGUCUUUCCAGAAAAACAGGAGAUCUUUUCCUAUUAAGGCAAAGAGACUACACUGAGGAGUAUGACAAGUUUUCAGCUUGAGAAGGGCUUGCAUUCUGUAGGAGAAAUGAACAAACAGCAUUAAUGUUGAUGAUGCAACAUGGAACAAGUGCUAUGACAGAGAUUAAAAAACAAGUGCUUGUUCAUUUACUGGAAAGACAGAAGACCGAUUCAGCCUGGAAAGAAAAAUCCCUGAGAAGAUGGCUUUCAGAUGGAAAGGACUUGCCUUGUCUUCAAUGAGACUUUGGACUGUGGACUUUUGAGUUAAUGCAAAAAUGAGUUAAGUCUUUGGGGGACUGUUGGAAAGGCAUGAUUGGUUUUGAAAUGUGAAGACAUGAAAUUUUGGAGGGGCCGGGGUAGAAUGAUAUGAUUUGGCUGUGUCCCCACCCAAAUCUCGUCUUGAAUUCCCACGUGUUGUGGGAAGGAUCCAGUGGAAGGUAAUUGAGUCAUGGGGGCAGGUUUUCCCCAUGCUGUUCUCAUUGAUAUUGAGUCUCAGUAGAUCCGAUGGUUUUAAAAAUGGGAGUUUCCCUGCCCAAGCCCUCUUCUCUUAUCUGCUUCC
rnacentral:lncRNA from 1 species